rnacentral:rRNA from 1 species
UACAGAGGUCUCAAGCGUUGUUCGGAUUCAUUGGGCGUAAAGGGUGCGUAGGCGGCGCGGUAAGUCGGGUGUGAAAUCUUGGAGCUUAACUCCGAAACUGCAUUCGAUACUGCCGUGCUUGAGGACUGGAGAGGAGACUGGAAUUUACGGUGUAGCGGUGAAAUGCGUAGAUAUCGUAAGGAAGACCAGUGGCGAAGGCGGGUCUCUGGACAGUUCCUGACGCUGAGGCACGAAGGUCAGGGUAGCAAACGGG